GCUCUGUGCAAGUGGGAUCUUUUCAGAUUGAAUGGCAGGUCAAGGUGUUUUCACUCAGUGAUUAACAUAAACGCAGCUCUUCUCCUCUGAGAGAGGAGGCUGAGGAAACUAGGUGGCUCUUGUGGGGGAUCCUUUUGGUUGGGAGUUGAGGCUGGAGUGGAAAAAAGGAUUCCUAUGUUUCCAAGAGAAAGCUUAGCACCUAGGUGACCUUGCACCCUUUUCUACGUGAAGACAGAAGACCUGUGUAUGUGUGUUCAUCCAAGAAAACAUGCAACAACCUUGGCAGACAACCACUGCAUUUUGCUAUGUUAAUCUGGCACUAGACUGAGACCUAUCGGUGGCUCUCUUCUAAAGAGCAAAAAUAAGAGGAGGAAAAAUAAAUUUGAAAAAGACCCAAACAACUUGCAUUUACUUCAUCUCACCAGAAUGUAAACUAUAGUGGAUCUUUGAUGUUACGUGCACAGAUGUUGUAUCCGACACAUCUCAUGGCAAGCGCCAAGCGAGAAGCGACAGAAGCACAGGAAGCUGAGUAGACCACAAACAUUCAACGCUACGAGGAUGGCCCAGAGCUGCAACCUACAUAAACAGUCAUCUAACUCAAGUCUAAAUUAAAGCAGUGCGUUCCAAGAUACAAUAGAUAUGCUCAGAAAGAUGCAUGUACUGCAUUCUGCCUGCAUGCUGUGAUAUCAGGCAUUCUUCAAAGACUUAGUAUUUUUUGGAUAUCCAAAGAGCUAAUGCAUGUGAGUUGCAUGCCCACGAAUUUAGCCACUAAUUUAUUAGCUAGACAGAGACUCCUAUUUCACAGUUUAUUCUGCUUUCUGUUCUUUUUGUAUCUGCGGGCAGGAAGGAUGUCUUCCUCUUGUCAUAAAAAUAAACUUUUGUAAUAAUACUUUUAAAGGCUAUUUGAACUUAAUCAUAGACCCCCUGACUCCAAGUAUUUUAAGCUUAGCAUUAAAGUAGGGUUUUGAUUCA